rnacentral:rRNA from 1 species
GAUGAACGCUGGCGGCGUGCCUAAUACAUGCAAGUCGAGCGAACGGACGAGAAGCUUGCUUCUCUGAUGUUAGCGGCGGACGGGUGAGUAACACGUGGAUAACCUACCUAUAAGACUGGGAUAACUUCGGGAAACCGGAGCUAAUACCGGAUAAUAUUUUGAACCGCAUGGUUCAAAAGUGAAAGACGGUCUUGCUGUCACUUAUAGCUGGAUCCGCGCUGCAUUAGCUAGUUGGUAAGGUAACGGCUUACCAAGGCAACGGUGCAUAGCCGACCUGAGAGGGUGAUCGGCCACACUGGAACUGAGACACGGUCCAGACUCCUACGGGAGGCAGCAGUAGGGAAUAUUCCGCAAUGGGCGAAAGCCUGACGGAGCAACGCCGCGUGAGUGAUGAAGGUCUUCGGAUCGUAAAACUCUGUUAUUAGGGAAGAACAUAUGUGUAAGUAACUGUGCACAUCUUGACGGUACCUAAUCAGAAAGCCACGGCUAACUACGUG